rnacentral:lncRNA from 1 species
UAUUAUGAAUAGUAUUUACUAGUACUUGCCACCAAGAAAAUUCAUAAAUUCCACAUCUGCUAUAAAUUAAAAAGAUAAUUUUAAAAGUUUUGGAUUACUCCUAUAUGGCAUUGGAUCACGAAGUUUAGGAACAUUAGGUUGUUCCAAUUUGAUACCAUUGAUAAGUAUAUUUAUUACACUUAUCUAGGUGGUUAAACUAGAGCAAUUAGUGUUGUGUUAAAUGAAUUGAUGCUUAAUUUUGUAUAUAUUUGGUUUGUUAGGUACAUCUCGAUAAAAAAUGACAAAAGGAGCGAAAAAUUGACAAGUAGGGGUUGAAUCCAAAGUUCAAGGACUAAACUGUAAAGUACCAAUAGUUGAUUCAGACCCCAUAUCGAUGAUUGGAGAAGAUGUAAAGUCAAUUGUAUGAAAUUGCAAGCUAAAGGAGCAAGAAGAUAUCAAAUAAGAGUUAAAUAAAUGAAGACCGAAAUUGGAGGAUUAAAGUGCAACAAUUGAGAAUUUGUUUAUACAGUGCGUGCGCAGGACCUCAAGUCCAUACCGAGAGGAAAAGCAUAAAGUGGCACGCACGCGAUGGAAAGUAUGGCGUGCGCGGGGUAAAUUCUGGGUCGAACGGCACAACCUCCGUUUUUAACCUAAACUCUUAUGGAAAGAAAAAAGGAACAAUUGGGAAAGAAAGGGAGGAGGUAGAAUACAAGAGAAAAGCAGAAGAUACAUAGUUUUCACCACAAGAAGGAAGGAAGGAAAAUUGUAAGCCAACUUUUGAGAGAAUUUACAUCAAAAACGAAGAAUUCAUCGCUUGGAUUCGGAUUUGAAGGCACAAAUUGAAGAUUUUCAGAUUUUCUUCAUCUUUAAUUAUUUGGGUGAUGACUUUCUUUUAUUUUCUUUGUAAUUCUUACGCUAACAUGAUAGGCUAAAUUCCUUUGUAUUGGAUGGAUAACAAAAUUAAUUGAUUUUUAGUUUUCAAUUCAAG